rnacentral:misc_RNA from 1 species
UCCGGUUUGUCACCGGCAGUCCUUCAUGAGUCCCCGACAUUACUCGCUGGCAACAUAGGACGAGGGUUGCGCUCGUUGCGGGACUUAACCCAACAUCUCACGACACGAGCUGACGACAGCCAUGCAGCACCUGUGUUCCCGUUCCCUUUCGGGCACACCCGGCUUUCACCGGGCUCCAGGACAUGUCAAGGGUAGGUAAGGUUUUUCGCGUUGCAUCGAAUUAAACCACACGCUCCGCUGCUUGUGCGGGCCCCCGCCUAUUCCUUUGAGUUUUAACCUUGCGGCCGUAGUCCCCAGGCGGUGAACUUAAUGCGUUAGCUGCGGCACUGAUCGGGUCAAUCCGACCAACACCUAGUUCACAACGUUUAGGGCGUGGACUAC